UCGAAACAAUUUUUGAAAACUGAAAAGAAGAGACUUUCAUUUUCCAAGAACUUGGGUGCUUCUGAUCUGUUGCUUUCAAGACAAAAACCUGAUUCUGAGAACAACAGGUUAAACAACUAAUGGAGCCCAGAAAGUUGAACAUCAGUGAUACACACCGAGCUAGAUUCUUCGAUGCUUAUACUGUCAAAUCCAACUACUGGUAAAAAGAAUUUCUUGUUGCAAGAGAAAACAGAACCUCUAAUACUAGAAACACAUGCUAAAGUGCCAAACCCCUCUAUUGUCAUCAUCGUAUUGUGGCCAGGCUAUGCCCUAAAGCAGCAAAUUCGUUGGCAUUUGGACAAGACUACAUCCCUUGGAUGCAUAAAAGUUGGGAAUUGUCCACCACCAUCUUAUAGAACUCAAUAGGCAUCAUGGCUACACAAUAAUUUCACAGGAUACAUGAUUGUUAUUAUCAUAAUGUCUACUGUCUACUCUAUUUAAUGCCAGUCAUCACAUUCCCAGUACCAAUUUGAAAAAAACAAAGGACAAUUAUACUUGUAUUUCUUGAAAACUUCUGUAUAUCUUCUUGUGGGGCUUGGAAGUAUGGGUGAUAGAACGAAAUUGCAGAGGAAGAUGUUUGCUGGUGAGCUGAUAGAUAUGGUUAAUCCUAAUGGUCAUUCAAGACCCUCUGGAAGUCAUUUUUUUGCCGACAUGGGGUCCCUGUAUUCCAUUAUUAUGACUGUUAGGAAAUCGGAAUUGAGGCAAAAGAAGGAAGGCAAGGGGAAACCACCUUGACAUGUGGCUUGAUUGGCAGUCAAAGUUGGCUUGCAUUCAAGAGAGACUGAUGCAGUCGAAUAUUACUCGACAUUUGGAUUGGUUGGACUGGGAAAAUUGAAGCGGAUACCCUCACUAUCUGCAGAUUGGAUACAACUGAAGAGCAUACUGGUGUCCGUCUCUCGUUUCCGAGGAAAAAAUUCGGCACACUUAACAACGAAAGGCCUAACUUGUGGUCAGUUUUUAGUGGACCAGGUUUUAGGUUAUGGUCGGGAUUUGAGUUCUUUCUGGAAAAGGCGUGAGCGCAGUCAAUUGAUCAAUCAUUGCAAUAAAUGGAGAAACAUGAAUGGAUAGUCACUAAACAUAGUUCACUAACAAUUUGAAGACACUA